CCUACGGGCGGCAGCAGUGAGGAAUAUUGGUCAAUGGGCGAGAGCCUGAACCAGCCAAGUCGCGUGAAGGAUGAAGGAUCUAUGGUUUGUCAACUUCUUUUAUAAAGGAAUAAAGUGAGGCACGUGUGCCUUUUUGUAUGUACUUUAUGAAUAAGGAUCGGCUAACUCCGUGCCAGCAGCCGCGGUAAUACGGAGGAUCCGAGCGUUAUCCGGAUUUAUUGGGUUUAAAGGGAGCGUAGAUGGGUUGUUAAGUCAGUUGUGAAAGUUUGCGGCUCAACCGUAAAAUUGCAAUUGAUACUGGCAGCCUUGAGUACAGUUGAGGUAGGCGGAAUUCGUGGUGUAGCGGUGAAAUGCUUAGAUAGCACGAAGAACUCCGAUUGCGAAGGCAGCUUACUAAACUGCCACUGACAUUGAUGCUCGAAAGUGUGGGUAUCAAACAGGAUUAGAUACCCGUGUAGUC
rnacentral:rRNA from 1 species